rnacentral:rRNA from 1 species
AGAGGUCUUCCUCGGGAGUCCGGCUCGAGCACAAACUCUGGCGUCGACAGUUGUAGUUCCAGUUGCAGGAGACGUCUCUGUAAAGGUGCUCGUUCUGGAGUAAAACGUGAAACGGUUCUUUUUCGUCGAUACGUUUCGGUCAAAUAUGGAUCCGGGAUACUUCAUGGUAGUCUUGUUUUCUGAGAGUGUU